rnacentral:rRNA from 1 species
AUUGAACGCUGGCGGCAUGCCUAACACAUGCAAGUCGAACGGGGCAGCAGUGCCUAGUGGCGGACGGGUGAGGAAUACGUAGGAAUCUGCCCUUAAGUGGGGGAUAACCAGGGGAAACCCUGACUAAUACCGCAUGAUCUCUUCGGAGCAAAGAGGGGGACCGCAAGGCCUCUCGCUUCUGGAUGAGCCUACGUCUGAUUAGCUAGUUGGUAGGGUAAAGGCCUACCAAGGCGACGAUCAGUAACUGGUCUGAGAGGAUGAUCAGUCACACCGGAACUGAGACACGGGCCGGACUCCUACGGGAGGCAGUAGUGGGGAAUUUUGGACAAUGGGCGCAAGCCUGAUCCAGCAAUGCCGCGUGCAGGAAGAAGGCCUUCGGGUUGUAAACUGCUUUUGUCAGGGAAGAAAUCUUCUGGGUUAAUACCUCGGGAGGAUGACGGUACCUGAAGAAUAAGCACCGGCUAACUACGUGCCAGCAGCCGCCGUAACAC